UGGGGAAUAUUGCACAAUGGGCGCAAGCCUGAUGCAGCCAUGCCGCGUGUGUGAAGAAGGCCUUCGGGUUGUAAAGCACUUUCAGCGAGGAGGAAGGGUAGUGUGUUAAUAGCACAUUGCAUUGACGUUACUCGCAGAAGAAGCACCGGCUAACUCCGUGCCAGCAGCCGCGGUAAUACGGAGGGUGCAAGCGUUAAUCGGAAUUACUGGGCGUAAAGCGCACGCAGGCGGUUUGUUAAGUCAGAUGUGAAAUCCCCGCGCUUAACGUGGGAACUGC
rnacentral:rRNA from 1 species